GAGUUUGAUCCUGGCUCAGGAUGAACGCUGGCGGAGUGCCUAACACAUGCAAGUCGAGCGGCAGCACGAGUAGUUUACUACUUGGUGGCGAGCGGCGGACGGCUGAGUAACGCGUGGGAACGUGCCCCAAAGUGAGGAAUAACUGCCCGAAAGGGUAGCUAAUGCCGCAUAAGAUCUUCAGAUUAAAGUAUUUAUUACGCUUUGGGAGCGGCCCGCGUCCGAUUAGGUAGUUGGUGAGGUAAAGGCUCACCAAGCCCACGAUCGGUAGCUGGUCUGAGAGGAUGACCAGCCAGACUGGAACUGAGACACGGUCCAGACUCCUACGGGAGGCAGCAGUGAGGAAUCUUCCACAAUGGACGAAAGUCUGAUGGAGCAACUCCGCGUGCAGGAUGAAGGCCUUCGGGUCGUAAACUGCUUUUAUGAGUGAAGAAUAUGACGGUAACUCAUGAAUAAGGGUCGGCUAACUACGUGCCAGCAGCCGCGGUCAUACGUAGGACCCAAGCGUUAUCCGGAGUGACUGGGCGUAAAGAGUUGCGUAUGUGGUUUGUAAAGUGAAUAGUGAAAUCUGGCGGCUCAACCGUACAGGCUAUUAUUCAAACUCACAAACUCGAGAAUGGUAGAGGUAACUGGAAUUUCUUGUGUAGGAGUGAAAUCCGUAGAUAUAAGAAGGAACACCAAUGGCGUAGGCAGGUUACUGGACCAUUUCUGACACUGAGGCACGAAAGCGUGGGGAGCGAACCGGAUUAGAUACCCGGGUAGUCCACGCCGUAAACGAUGGAUACUAGCUGUUGGAGGUAUCGACCCCUUCAGUAGCGAAGCUAACGCGUUAAGUAUCCCGCCUGUGGAGUACGGUCGCAAGACUAAAACAUAAAGGAAUUGACGGGGACCCGCACAAGCGGUGGAUCGUGUUCUUUAAUUCGAUGAUAAACGGAGAACCUUACCAGGGUUUGACAUCCUUGGAAUUUCUGUGAAAGCAGAGAGUGCUUUAUUGAGCCAAGUGACGGGUGAUGCAUGGCCGUCGUCAGCUCGUGUCGUGAGAUGUUUGGUUAAGUCCAUCAACGAGCGCAACCCUUGUGAUUAGUUGUAUUUUUCUAAUCAGACUGCCCCGGUAACGGGGAGGAAGGAGGGGAUGAUGUCAGGUCAGUAUUUCCCUUACACCCUGGGCUAGAAACACGAUACAAUGGUUAGUACAAUGCGCAGCGAAGCCGCGAGGUGGAGCAAAUCGCAUCAAAGCUAAUCUCAGUUCGGAUAAGAGGCUGAAACUCGCCUCUUUGAAGUCGGAAUCGCUAGUAAUCGCAGAUCA
rnacentral:rRNA from 1 species